rnacentral:lncRNA from 1 species
UGAGCUGACAGUCUGGUUAUGGACUCACAGACCUCGCUGCUGUUGCAGCAGCUCUAUAUAAGGAUGUUCGAGUCUCCAGAGGAAAGACAUGGAGGGCAGUGCAGGUCAGUGCACACACACACACAAACACACACACACGCCUUGUAUGGCGUUGGAAACUUGAUGGAAAAUGUGUGUGUUAAAGGAGAGAGCGUGAAAUUCCUCCUUUUUGUCUAAAUCUAAAUCUGGACCUGUUUGGUUUGGACUGAAGGUUCUGCUGAAGCUCAAAGAGGACCUAAAAGAAGACCUGAUCCCACAUGAUCCAGGUCCACUUCACUGACAGACCUCAUUGUCAGCACCGAGAUGUUAUGACAAAUGUAUAAAACUGGCUUAGAGAAAUCCCAACUAUAUGUGAACCUAUCCAAGACUGUAUGUUUUCCAAAAUAGAGCAAGUCCUGACAGUGAUCCCGGCGUCUCUGUGAAGGUAAAACGAUUAAAGUGGUCCAAGAGUUGAAAUACUGAGGUAUCACUGUUGACUUACAACUCCUUUAUAAACCACAGAUGAAAAAAAAACACUGUUAAUGUAGCAUAGCGGUAGUUCAGGCAGGUCACAGAGAUCUCCAGCCAGCCCUCAGUCAGCUGACAGCUCAGGUGAUCGCCCUCUACACAUCCUAUUGGCUAAUGUCAAAAUGCAACCCACCUCCACCCCAGCUCCUCCUGUUUAUGUUGUGUCUGAUCUUACCAGUGUCAUAUGUAUUGUCACUGAUGCUUGCUCUGUUCUGUGGGGGAUUUUAAUUUAUUUAUCUUAAUCGUAUUUAUUUGCUGCUGCUUUCUCUGCCUUAGCUUCUCAUGUAUGUACAUGCAAGGGAGGGGAGGGGCUCUCCCCUCUUAUAGCCGUGGAAUUCACACUUGUCCUAUUGUCAUGAUAUGUUCUGUUUGCAUAACAAGCUGGGAAUCGGCAUGUAAGACGACACUAAAGCCGAUUGAAACAAUUUAUGAACAAACUUUGAAAGUCCUGGAUAAAAAAAACAAAAAUGUACCGUCACGGUCAGAGAUUAAAAAAAUCAGCUGGGACAACACCGUUAAAUUCACUGAUGCCAUCUUGGUUUACAAAAUCUAACAUGGCAAAGAACCCCCCCCCCCCCCCCAACACACACACACACACACACAAGUUUGUGUUUCUGAUGGAAAAUCUCCUCCUGUCCUCUUGUAGGUCCUCUCCCUCUUUAGACAUCUGUCUCUCUAAAUCUGUCCAUCCUCUGAGCGACAGGCCGGCCUCACUUCCAAAGGUACACACACACACCCACAAACACACACACACAGUCGAUUUAUUCCAGCGGAAGUUUUCCUCCCCCCAUGAAACAGGCGUGCUGUUGGCCUUUUCUCUCAAUUGUCAUGGAAACCACAGAGCCCCUGACUGCACACACACACACACACACACACACACACACACACACACACACAAAUGAUACAUGUGUUUUCUUGGUGAGCAGCUGGAGUGUGUAGAAUGAUAAUUAGACCCCGUCGUGGUCUUGGACUCUGUUGUGAGAUCAGGGAUCAGUUUUUUCACCAUCAAACUCUACCUCCUCACCUGCUGUAGCUCCACCCACCUUAGCUGGUCACCUGUCUUAAAUGAAGGUCCAGUCUAAGUCCAGUCUGGCUGACAGAGCAGAUCCGGUUCGAUUCAGGGUUGUAAAAUCCAGGAUCCUCCUCAGACCUGAACCGGUGAAUCCGAUCAGCUGUGAGGAUCUGUGGUUCUGGGUCCCACAACCCUGGAUCAAACCUCCUGAAGAUCUGGACCCUGGACCAGACUCACACAGUUUCUGUCCCAAAGUUCAGGUACCUGUUCACACAGGUAAACCGUCCAGAACCUCUGAACCCAGCUCAGCUUUUAACAGGAUCCUCUCAGCCAAUUAGGAUCCAGGAUUCUACUCAGCCAGUCAGGAGCCAGGAUUAUACUGUCAGUCAGAGCGAAAAUAAACAUAAAAAACAACUUUAUUUUAAAAACCUAAUUUUAGAACCAAAACCUCCACUGUGAGUGUGUGUGUGUGUGUGUGUGUGUGUGUGUGUAACCACAACAAAAACAGAAGCUCUGAGGCUCUGCAGCAACUUUACCAACUCAGACAGGAAGUCCAGUCAGCAUGACUUGACACAUGACACACACACACACACACACACACACACACACACACACACACACACACACACACACACACACAAUAGGGGAGAAUGGGUUAAGAUGAUCCAUGUUUCAUAUUUCGGAUCACUACAUCAAGUCAAUCCUAGUUUUGUCUCUAACUAGUGUAUCUGCAUAUAUUUCAGGAUGUUGUUCAUCCCUGAAAACCAACAGAAUGAGUGCAAACAGAACUAUAAUCUUGAUAAUAUAGCAUGACAUAAACAAAGUGGUCUCCUAUGCUAAGUUGAGCUGUACCCCCCCCCCACACACACCCCCCACCCAGCCCUCCCUCACCUUCUCUCUCCCUAAAUAACAGUCACUUCCUCACAUUCAUGUGUAUUUUUAUCUAUUAUACAAUAUUCAACUGGUACAAUCAUUCUUUUUAUUAUUAUUACAUAUACCUGCUAAAAAGCUGUUUUAUAAAAAAAACAUUUGAACAUGAGAAUGUCUUUAAGUGAUUCAGAACAUUCACAGGCUUCUCGCCAAAGUUAAAACCCAUUUAAGCCAGAAGGACCUUGAAAAAGUUAUCUUUGCUUUUAUGAAAAUGUUUUUUUGGGAAAAAAAUGUCUAACCCAGUGGUUCUCAACUGGUCUCACUCUGGGACCCACAUUUUCCCAUGGUCCCUAAGUCAAGACCCACUUUCAUAAAAUUCAAACCAAGCUAAUUUUUUUAAAUUAAAAAAAACCCUUCAAAAUCUCAAGUCUUUAACACAAGUACAAUCAUUUUAUUGAGUAAAGGGCAAUUUAGAGAGAAUGAACUGAGGACAACUACUGAAGUUGCAUAUACAGAAAAUAUCAAAUUACAUAAAAUAAAGACAAAAAAAAAAUAAAAAAUUCUGCAUCCAGGCCACAUGAAUAAGAAACCUAGGAGGACUAUGACAUAACACGUGCCUUUCAAAAUAAGCUAUUUUUCAAAAUAAAAGACAUGUCAAACAUCAGAUGCGCAGUAAAUAUUUACUUUUUUGACCAACUGUUCACGACCCAUCCAGAACGUGUGCACAACCCACUUUUGGAUCUGGACCCACCAGUUGAGAACCACUGGUCAAACCCCUUCACCCAUGUUAUUCUAACCUUCACAGACUCCAUGAAUUGAUGACCAUCUCCUAAAGAUUUGGUCACAUGAUCAAUCUCUUUGGCUCAACUUACCAUGGUCUCCCCCAUCCAUUAUUCUUCCUGAAAUCCUCUGCAGCGACCCCUUUAUGGGUCCAGUCUGUGAUGGUGCCCCUGGUCCUGAAUGAACCUGGUCCUCCCCUCACACCUCCAUCAGAGCUCCAACUGUCAAAGAUCUGAUUUCUUGAAAAACACACAAACUACAGGAAGUUAACAAGCCACCAUCACUGUGGCGGCGGCGUCUGACCCAAACAUCCACGAGACCUGAGGAAGACCCUGAGGAAGAACCUGAGCAGCUCCACACUCUCGUCUUCUUCUUUUUCUUUUAUUUUGUAUCCAAAUUAAAAAAAAACAACUGAUUAACGGCUCCGACUGAAACUGGACCUUCAGAUCUGACUGAGACCCUCUCAAGUUCAGACCAUCAAAGUUCCAGGAGGACCCUCUCUCUGUCAGACUCGGAUGGGCCAGAACCUUCUGAGCACGGUCCACAAUUCUGGACCUGAGGAGGCAGUCUGAACCUGAAUGACAUCAGAGCUCACGGUGCAGUUUUGGGCCGUUUCUUCAAGGUCUUGCCGACCCCCUCAACCAGGGACCCCUGCUGCCGGUCAGGUAUCAGAGGAGACCUCAAAGAUCCAGGUCCUGCAGUUCAUAAGUGUGUGAACAGAUCA